CCGAACUGUCAAUAAGGACAUUACUUGAUUUUAUAUUGUAGUGGAUGAUGUUUGAUUGGUGCAAAUGAGCCAGGCUUUUCGCUGUCCCAAGAAUUAUAUUGAACCUCUCGUUCCAUGAAAGAAAAUUUCCAACUGAUCCCUCAUGGAGAUGCUUGUACAAACUCCCUCCAGAGACAAAUUCAUAUAUCAAAAGCUGUAAGGAUGGUGUCCAGUAAUAACCUUCAAGUGCCACAAGAUUUUG
rnacentral:misc_RNA from 1 species